rnacentral:rRNA from 1 species
UACAGAGGUGGCAAGCGUUGUUCGGAAUUACUGGGCGUAAAGGGCGCGUAGGUGGCCUUCUUAGUCAGACGUGAAAUCCCCGGGCUUAACUCGGGAACUGCGUCUGAUACUGGAAGGCUGGAGUUCGGGAGAGGAAUGUGGAAUUCCAGGUGUAGCGGUGAAAUGCGUAGAUAUCUGGAGGAACACCGGGGCGAAGGCGGCAUUCUGGACCGAAACUGACGCUGAGGCGCGAAAGCCAGGGGAGCAAACGGG